CACUUUGAAAAAAACCCCGAGAAGUUUUAUAAUAAAAAAUAUUUAUUAUAGGACUAUUUUUAAGCUAAUCAAUUUUGUGAUAUUGAUUAUCAUUAUACUCUUUUUCUAUUUAAUUCUGCUCUUACACCUCUUCUAGAUCAUUACUAUUUUGGUCAUGAUAAACAUUUGUAUCAUAGACGUGGACAUAUCACAAACAAUAAACAAACAUUUAAGAUUAAAUGACAAAAAUAAAAGAAUAAACAUUAGUUGCUGGCAGCAUGAAAAUAUGUAAUGUAGACUGUCCAGCUCAGCAAAUUUAAGAAGAAUGUAUCAUUCCUCAAAUUAUUAUAUAAUGAUGAACCUUAUGAAGAAUCUAAAACUUCCCAGAGAAUAUUCUCAACAUUUCAGGCAAUAAACAUAUUUCAUGUUGUCUAUAUCUCAGAAGGACAGAAAAGAUGGUAGCAUUUACUUAUUAUUUUGACAAAGAAAAAUUUAUACUAAAAUUAUUGUAAAAGGCCUAGACAGAGAGACAGACAUCAUGUGACAGUGAGCAGGAAGUUCAUGUGUGUCUUUACGUCCUUCAGUGUCUCACACACAGUGCAGCAAAGAACUGCUGAUCUGAUUCAACAUGGACAGAUGCUUUCUGCUCAUUGUGAUUAUGGGAACAGGUUUGGUGACUGGAGACAAUAUUGAGCCAGAUAAAGAGAAAAAUGUUACCACUAAAGAAACAGAAACUGUCAAGCUGAGCUGCUCAUAUAGUACAACCAGCAAUAAUGUUCGGCUUUACUGGUACAGACAAUAUCCACAUGCAGAACCUUUAUUUUUAACAUAUAGAGGAGCUCGAUCACUGAGUGCUGCAGACAGCUCUGAUGAUCGGUUUCAGUCGACUACAUCACGAACAUCCACUGAACUCACUAUUACUGAUGUACGUCUGUCAGAUUCAGCUCUCUAUUAUUGUGCUCUAAGAGUUUAAGCCCAGUGAUACAAAACAUGAAACACGUCGUACAAAAACCUGAAGCUCUUUUCACUUUAAACCGAUCUUGUGAAAACCACAAUCAAAACCACAAUCUAUCCAGCCCCAAAUGUAAUAAAAUAUGUGCUAACACCUGUGUGAAGAGAUUACAAGGCAUAAAAGACAAACAGAAACAUUAAAAGAUUAAAAGCAUAAAAACGUUAAAAGCAUAAAAAAAUAUUGUUUCAUUAAUUUCUGUGAACGCAACAUCAAAUUAACUUACAUUUAGUCAGCAAAUUCCUCUACUUUAAAUUAAAGUUAGGCCUGAUACUUUUAACCUUCAAAAUUAAACUUUUGAGAGUGUACAGUAAAUGUUGAAAAUUGUGUAUUUUACAAAAAAAGAUUAAAAUCCAAAAGUGAAAACCAGUUCUGCUUCAAGGGUUUUCUGUUUGUAUUUUAAUGUAAUUGCAGAAACUGGCCACACUGUGGCAGAAUUGAAGUCUAUUAUUCUAUCAAGCUCCUCCUACAUGUGUUUAACCUGUGCAAACAUAUAGUCACAUACAGUGAAAUCUAAACUCAGGCUGGCUCAUGUUCAUCAUCAUCAUAACUCACUAAUAUCACG